AGCGGUUAUAUCUUUACUUUAUAUAUUCCAAAAAUCGUGGUUCUUCGUACUGUGUUCGGUAACAAUCGGUUCGAUCGAUGGCUCAACACCAUAGCUAUUAGAAAAGAAUGGAAUUGGUAUUAUGUCUGAAUAGUUCCAAUGGACAGGAGCUGACAGAAAAUUCAAGCACAUGACUUGAAACUUGGCAGAAACAUAUAAAUAUCUCACCAAACUCAGUUUCGAGCAUGAAGUACGCAAAUGGCUACCUUCGUGGUUGUUGUGCCAUGUGGUCUGGUAUCCAUUCGAUCAGACUACAUGGCACAAACCACAGAAUAGCCAUUUUCAUCCUCACUAGAUGUUUGUGUGUGAAAAGCUAUAAUAAAAGAUAUGCAAGAGCAAGAACUACAUGCCUUUUUAAAUGAAGGAAUUCAGUACACCAAAAUGUUCUUUUACAACUUUGAGCAUGUUCGUCCUGUUCAGCUUCAACGUCGCCACAUGCUCUCAUGAGCUUCACAAAAUUCGAGGCUAAAACUGUUUAUACACAAAAUGUACUUUUUAUAGUAGUACUACUGCAGUCAUCUUGACUUGUGUAUCUGUAUGUACAGUUCUCAGACUAUUACACAGCAAUAAAGUAUGAAGCAAUACUCCGC